CGGGGCGGAGAGUUCGUCGCGCGGCCUUCCUGUAUAGGCCGUGAGGAAAGUCCGGGCAACACAGAGCGCCAUGCUCCCCUCGGGGAGGCGGCCGAAAGGUCGCGGCAAGGGUGACAGAAAAUUACCGCCGGCCAUACACGGCCGGUAAGGGUGAAAAGGCGGGGUAAGAGCCCACCGGGCACGAUAGCGAUAUUGUGUGCCGCACCUCCCAUGGGUUGCAAGGUCAAGUAUACCGGCAUUCAAGGGCUGCUCGUCCAUUGUCGGGGGGUAGACUGCGAAGAUAAAUGACGAACGGUAAGGCACACGUCGGCUAAUGCCGAUACUGCGCCCCCACAUAACCCGGCUUACACUCCGCCCCCGGAA
rnacentral:RNase_P_RNA from 1 species